GGUUAAGCGACUAAGCGUACACGGUGGAUGCCCUGGCAGUCAGAGGCGAUGAAGGACGUGCUAAUCUGCGAUAAGCGUCGGUAAGGUGAUAUGAACCGUUAUAACCGGCGAUUUCCGAAUGGGGAAACCCAGUGUGUUUCGACACACUAUCAUUAACUGAAUCCAUAGGUUAAUGAGGCGAACCGGGGGAACUGAAACAUCUAAGUACCCUGAGGAAAAGAAAUCAACCGAGAUUCCCCCAGUAGCGGCGAGCGAACGGGGAGCAGCCCAGAGCCUGAAUCAGUAUGUGUGUUAGUGGAAGCGUCUGGAAAGGCGCGCGAUACAGGGUGACAGCCCCGUACACAAAAAUGCACAUGCUGUGAGCUCGAUGAGUAGGGCGGGACACGUGGUAUCCUGUCUGAAUAUGGGGGGACCAUCCUCCAAGGCUAAAUACUCCUGACUGACCGAUAGUGAACCAGUACCGUGAGGGAAAGGCGAAAAGAACCCCGGCGAGGGGAGUGAAAAAGAACCUGAAACCGUGUACGUACAAGCAGUGGGAGCACGCUUAGGCGUGUGACUGCGUACCUUUUGUAUAAUGGGUCAGCGACUUAUAUUCUGUAGCAAGGUUAACCGAAUAGGGGAGCCGAAGGGAAACCGAGUCUUAACUGGGCGUUAAGUUGCAGGGUAUAGACCCGAAACCCGGUGAUCUAGCCAUGGGCAGGUUGAAGGUUGGGUAACACUAACUGGAGGACCGAACCGACUAAUGUUGAAAAAUUAGCGGAUGACUUGUGGCUGGGGGUGAAAGGCCAAUCAAACCGGGAGAUAGCUGGUUCUCCCCGAAAGCUAUUUAGGUAGCGCCUCGUGAAUUCAUCUCCGGGGGUAGAGCACUGUUUCGGCAAGGGGGUCAUCCCGACUUACCAACCCGAUGCAAACUGCGAAUACCGGAGAAUGUUAUCACGGGAGACACACGGCGGGUGCUAACGUCCGUCGUGAAGAGGGAAACAACCCAGACCGCCAGCUAAGGUCCCAAAGUCAUGGUUAAGUGGGAAACGAUGUGGGAAGGCCCAGACAGCCAGGAUGUUGGCUUAGAAGCAGCCAUCAUUUAAAGAAAGCGUAAUAGCUCACUGGUCGAGUCGGCCUGCGCGGAAGAUGUAACGGGGCUAAACCAUGCAC
rnacentral:rRNA from 1 species